UACGUAGGAGCCAAGCGUUAUCCGGAUUUACUGGGCGUAAAGCGCGUGUAGGCGGUUUGUUAAGUUGGGUGUUAAAUCUCUCGGCUCAACUGGGAGGUGUCGCUCAAAACUAGCAGACUGGAGGAUGGAAGAGGGAGGUGGAAUUCCGGGUGUAGUGGUGAAAUGCGUAGAUAUCCGGAGGAACACCAGUGGCGAAGGCGGCCUCCUGGACCAUUCCUGACGCUGCAACGCGAAAGCCAGGGGAGCAAAC
rnacentral:rRNA from 1 species